AAAGUACUCCCUCCGUCCGAAAAUACUUGUCAUAGGAAUGGAUGUAUCUAGAUGCAUUUUAGUUCUAGAUACAUCCAUUUUUACCCAUUUGUGCGACGAUUAAAUCCGGACGGAGGGCCUCCACU
rnacentral:pre_miRNA from 1 species